rnacentral:lncRNA from 1 species
ACUCAUACUCUACUUUUUUCAGUAACCAGCCCUUUUACUGUGCUCUCCAAACUUCUGUAAGCAUGGAGGAAGAAAGGCUGUGGAAAGAGGGAGCAGGCUACAAGUACUGAGGGGUAGGAACUUCACAAGGAGCCUUCUGGUUCUGCAUUUGGGAAACUAAAACCAGACACAGGAUAUAAUCCAUAGCCCAUAAAUUUGAAAAGAUGGAAAUUAAGAGUGCCUAAUUAUUACAUAUGCCCUAAGAGGAUAUCAUCAGUCUAUUGUUACAUUCCAUGGUGUUCUCUUUGAGGAAAUGAGGCCAGCUUUCACAGACAUACUACCCAGCACUUAGAAGUACGCUGCAUUCCACCUCUGACAACUGCGUAUUUAAUUUGCUACCUCUCGGGUUUGUACUGCUUACUGUCAGCAGAAGCUUCAGAUGACCAGAGAAACCUCCACCCUGCCUCCAGUAGUGCAGAUCCAGACGCGUUCCUGUGCAAACACCAAAACCUUCAUAUGUGCAGGCUUUCACCCACAAGUGCUGUAGAUAGAACAUUUGUGUCUCAGAUGGAAUUUAGAGAAAAAGAGCUGAAUGAGUAAGGCAACAUCUGGUACCCACCAUUCAUCCCACAUGUGGAAGCCAGUCACAACCACGUUUUCCAAACUUGUGUGGCACUGAAAGGUUCCCAGAUGGAGAUGUUAUUUGGGUUAGGCUUUCAGCUAUGCUCAGUCGCUUACAAGGGCUGUUUCCUGUUUAUGUGAUGGGCAAUGUCACAUUUUUCAGGCAUUCCAGAUACAGUUGUAGAGAGAAUGAAUUUUGACUAAGCUGCUUGUAUACCCCACCUGUGUCAGGCCAUGGUAAUUCCCAACACAAGAAGACACAGUAAAGUUUUACAAAACACCAGGGGUCAGCAGAACAUGGACAAAAAAAGAGUAAAGCCCACAUAUUCUGCAUAUCCUUUUAUCCACCUUAAUAUCCAAAGAACAACAGUGCACAAGCACACAGACAACUCUGAACCAACAGUGAAAUCAACACCAAAUACAACAAGAACACUCAUAGUGUGGUCAGGUGAUUCUUUCCCCCCACUUUACCCAACAAAAUGCUCACAUGCAAGACCAGCCUCCAUGCUCAUUCAGCUAUCAAGUUCCAGGUCUGACCAUGCUUGGGAUUGUUCCAUGUACUGGCACUGCCACACCCCUGUCACCCACCCACUGCUGCUGGCACAGAAAUGGGCAUUUCCUGUACUUUCUCAGGCUGUGAACCUUCCCUUGCCACGGUACACACAUGGAUCUUCUUCCAUUGCUUCUGUUGAUUACUCACAAUAUGGAUUCAUCUGGGGCUCAUAUGGUGCCAAGAGAUCCUGUGAGGGAAUGGAUGGCUCCUUACUCGAAGUACACACUGCCAAAUCAGGGUCCCCAAACUCGAGGUUCCCACCUUGAGGUGACAGCUCAAACUGCUGUACGUGCCCUUGCCAACAUUAAGGCAUCCCAGUGCUUUCCUAAGAAUCUUUUUGAGGAUGGUCAAUUUCUAGAGAGUUUAGUGGUUUAAUAUUUUGAUUGUAAGCUGCUUUCUAUCAGUCUAAGAUCAAAUUCAACUGAAGAUCUACCACUUUAUCUGUUGAAACUUGCUCCUGUGACCUGGGGAAAUCACAGGGACACCUGAGGCAAUGACAUGAUUCCUGAAAGACCAAGACCAAGCGGGUCAGAAAACUGAAUGGCCUCAGUGCCUCAGUAUUCUGAAUUAGAGUCAUAUCAAUCAUUAGCACUAGGGAGUACAAAGAAACCCCACACUACAAUUAAAAGCUACCCCAUGACACAGUAUUUACAAAACUGCUCUCUUAGCACAACAUAAAAACCCAGUUCCUGGACUUUUGAGUCUCCAGUGCAUGCAGAUCAAGGUAGCUUUUUUCUGUGCUGCUUGAAAAAACAGAGGGAUCAAGCUGUGUUUGAGAGGUUUGAAAAGCAUUUGUAGUGAAACCAUUGGCAGAAUCACAUUCAAAAUUAAGCCAUGCUUGGAUCCAGUUUCUAAAUAGUGCUGUUGCCAACACUAUGGCCUAUGGUGAUUUUGACUUGAGGAGACUGGUCCACAAACUUGGAGAAAUAUCUGAUGGGACAGCAGCCAUCUUUCAGUCUCUACAUGUAUAUCUGAAAACACAUUUAGGAUUACCAAUCUGUAAAGUAUCAACAGAAGGCAGAAAUAAAGGGCUUAGAGAUAAGACAGACCCUGCUCUCCCACCAACAACCAAGUGCUCAAAAAUAUAGUAAAGUGUUACUGCAGCAGUACACACAUCAAGUCUCAUUCUCCUGCUUGUUCUAAGCUCAGGCUCAGUAAUCUAAAAGAACAGCAGACCAAGAAGUUCAAAGUUAUAUUAGGAGAAAGAGGAAAGCAAAGUUAUGCACACAAUUUUUCUUUAUAGAAAAGAAUGUUUUUACAUGUUACAGGGACACUAGGGAAAGCUGCAAGAGAACAAUCAGAAUAUAUUUUACAAAGGCAAACUGUGCUCUUCCCAGCACAUCUAAACAAGUGACCACUCUACAAAAAUCAAACUCUUUGAACAAAGAAAGCCUUUAAUAUAAUUAUAGUUCAUUUUCUAUUUACUAUAGAACAGAACUGCAAGUGGCAGGUCUUUAUCACUGCUAUGAGAUAGCUUAGCUCUUGUCUACAAUCUGGGGCAAGUGGCAGUGCUUACUUCUUCAAAAUUAAACUACAGCAGCUUCUUUUGAGCUUUAGAGAUUUAGAGUGUCAGAUGAGCUGGCAGGAUCAUGAAGAGAACACACAGAUUUUUCAAUUUAUGCCUUAGCGGCAGGAUUAAAAGGGGAAACCACAAGCCAAUUCUUAAGAAAAAAUGAACAAUCUACACACAUUAGAACAAAAAAAUCUUAACAUUCCUUAAAGAUGAUUGAAUCAAAUUCCACACUCUUGGACUGUUUGUAAAAUUUGGGGGUUUGUUUGACAUUACUUUUGAUUACUUCAGUCGCGCAAGAUCAUUUAACGACAUACACUGAGGAUCAUUUGUAACUGCAAGGCAUUCAUCAGACCUGCACAAAAACUGUACCCAUCUUGCCCAUUCCCUGCAAUAGACCCACUCAGCUCUGUAACCACAUCAAGCCCAGUGGAUGCUUACAUUGUCAAUUUUACUGAAGCCACUUCUGUGUUUGCAACAGGCUUUGAUCAGGAGGCUGCCUCUCCAUCACACCUGCCUCACGAAAAACAGUUCACCACACACCCCAGGGGACACAGCCCUCCCAGCUGAAGGGUCUGCAGGUGGGGUAAAUGAAACAGGAGCCACCUGUCAGACACUUCAUUAAACUGAACAAAAGUGGGGAACCAGAGCCCUCUGCCUCAGCAGCUCCCAGCAUAUGGCAACACACAGACAUGUGAUCCACAGUGGCACAGGGACAGCACCUCCUGGGGAUGACAAAAAGCAAUUUGCAUGCAGAGUUCAAAUAAACAAGGAAAGUCAUCCAGAAUAUAGAAGUCAGUGAGGGGAGCUUAAGGAACAGAGAAAAUGUCCCCUGAAAGACAACAUGGCAAGGGUGUCUGUCUUCACUGAGUUAAGUCAAGGACAGAGAGGGCCAGAGGAAAAUAUUAGCCAUUUUCAUUUCCCUCCUGCACAGAAUCACAAAUGCAUUUAAGAAAAUGAACUGUGAGAUGAUGCAUGUAAAAAAUAUACUGCUCCACCACUGCUGAUGAUGGUAGAGUUAUGUUGUAUAUUUAGGCAAGUGUCCAGAAAAAGGUGACUGCCAGUUCAUGGCCAUGAAUCACAAAUCUCAAGAGCACACUAAGAGGCUACAGUGUGCUUCACAGAACAAACAAGCAGCAGUUCCUAAAGAGAGCACCAAAUCACAGCUAACUUCCAAGGUGUCCAUCAAAGGUUUAGAGUGGGACAAGGCAAAGGAAAAAUCAAAGACAUUGGCACACCAAAAACGGUCCAUAUGAAUUUCAGACACCUCUGCACUGAUCUGGUGUCUUCAAACAGUGAUACUCACAACUGUAUUGCUUAGAAGCUAAAAAAGACAAUUAUUGUUGUCUUAAGAUAAUAAAGGACAAUAGCUACAGUAGCAAGAGCAGUGAUUUAGCAGCAAAUGGCUUUAACAAAGUAGACAGCAAUACCAGGUUAGCAAGCAUUAAAAGAUCAGGCCUAUGAUUAUUAUACAGGAUAUGAUAAAACAUAAAUUAUUUUUUCCAUACCUUCCUAAACCCAUACAGGUAUGUAUAACUACCUCUCUUAGCCUUCAACAAAUCUUUUAAGCAUUCACCGGAUCCUCCUAAAUGAUUAAAAAGUCAUCUCCACUCAGGGAGAAUUAUUUGAUUUCCAGCACUUAAAAGCCAAAGCAGAGAUUUCAAAACACAUUCAGCUCCAUGGAAUUAUUUGUGUCCACAUAUACUGCUUUUCCUUAAUAAAUAUAUCCCUGUCUUUUCAGUUUCUCCUAACAGAGACUUAUCUUGGCUUUUAAGUAGCGUCUUCUGUGUUUAACUAUUGUUCAGGAGAUUAAAUGGAGGAAACAAAACCAAAUAAGCAACGGGAACUUACCUGGUUACAGAGCUGACACUGUAGGCUCUGUCCAUGUUUUCAGUUCUCAACAUUCUCUGUUUUGUGAGAGGUCAGCAAGAAACUCUUUUCCUUUCAUUCUUGUCUUGCCUUUAAAAGCUUUCUGACUCCAACUAUCCAAAGCAGGGCAAAGCAGAAGGAAGACUUCUUCAAAAUGCUCCAAAAAAUUUCACAACAUCCUGAAGCCAGCAGUUGCUUCCUCCCAGGUAACCUCUGUCCUACCUCUUCUGUUUCUGGCUGUUAGUUUGUUGUGGUUUGGCCUCAGCUGGUAACUAAUCACCGCUCAGUGGCUGCUCCUUCACUCACCCCAGGUGGGAUGGAGAAGAAAAUUGAAAGGGUGAAAGUAAGAACACUUGUGGGCUGAGAUAAUGUCAAUUUAAUAAGCAAAGCCAAAGUUGCCCACACAAGCAAAGCAAAACCAGGAAUUCAUUCACUACUUCCCAUGAGCAGGAAAGUGUUCAGCCAUCUCCAGGAAACCCGGCACCAUCACACAUAACUGUAACUUGGGUAGACAACUCCAUCACUCCAAACACCCCUCCUUCCUUCCUUCUUCCCAUUUUACAUGCUGAGCAUGACUCCAUAUGUUACAGGAUAUAUGUUGGGUCAGCUGGGGUUGGCUGUCCCAGCUGUGUCCUCUCCCAGCUCCUUGUACACCCCCAGUCUCUUCACUAGCGGGGUGGGGUGGGAGGCAGAAAAAUCCUCGGAUCUGUGCAAGCCCUGCUCAGCAAUAAGGAAAACAUCCCUAUGUUAUCAACACUGUCUCCAAAUCUAAAACAGCCCCAUACCAGUACUGUGAAAAAAAAUUAACCCAGAUAAAACCACCUGAGAGUCUCAGGUGCUACUCCAGUCCACUCAUCUUAUGUAAUGAAGUGCAGCUGAGAUACUCUGUGCCAUCAUAUAAAGGUACAUGUUUUCUUUGCACUUAAUAUCACCACAACACAAGCAAUAAACUGGAUAACAGAUAACGAAAAUAUUAUGUACCCAGUACUUCAACAGUAUUAUAGAAAAAUUGACAACAGAAGGAACUCAGAAAAACGGGGAUCCUGCACAUCCCACUUAAUUCAGGUUACCACUGAAAGCUUCUAAUGCAUUGCAGAGCUAUUAUUUUCUAAUUUUAAUCCCUAUUUAGGAAAAACAGAGAGGCAUUACAGCUCAAAACAUAAAAGACAGCAACAUUCAAAGCAGUCACAACAUAAAACUAUCCUUUCUUACUCCAACACUUUUUCAAAGUUUAUCAAAACUUGCACAGGAUCAUCCAAAUAGGAAAACAUCCAAGUAGAAACACUCCUUAAGACUUGCAUGAUGGAUGGUUACAGCACUAAUUAAAAAAGAAGUCACUAACUCACAGCUGCAUUCCAUAAAAAGCAAUGAAACUGUUGAGAACAGCUGGGAGUUUAUGCAGCAGGGGCUGAAGAUAUAAAAAACAAAGAUAGUGCCUGAGCAGCAAACAGCAUUCUUCUACUUUUUGAUCAUCUCUAAAUUUUAUUUAUUUUCAAGACUUACAUUUCUGCUAUGACCACUUCUUUAUAAAAAAGGUAUGUUAAACUGAAUCUGAAAAUAAACCAAAAAACCUGUUCUUGGAAUGUAAAAGUAUCAGGUUCUUCUCCAUAGAGAACUUGUACAUUAUGGAUUUUUUUUUCCCUGAGCAAGGGGAGAAUUUUUUAUUUUUUAAUUUUAAAAAUGUAUAUACUGAGCCAAGCUGUAGAAUUAACUUAAAAACACACACACACCAAAAAAAAAAAAAAAAAAAAAAAAAG